rnacentral:tRNA from 1 species
GAUAUAGAAGUAAAAUAUUACAUUUAAUUUCGACUUAAAAUUUUAAAAUUUAUAAUUUUCAUAUAUUU